UACGAAGGGGGCUAGCGUUGUUCGGAAUUACUGGGCGUAAAGAGUUCGUAGGCUGUGUCAUAAGUCAGUGGUGAAAUCCCGAAGCUUAACUUCGGAACUGCCAUUGAAACUGUGACACUGGAAUCUCAGAGGGGAUAGCGGAAUUCCAAAUGUAGGGGUGAAAUCCGUAGAUAUUUGGAGGAACACCGGUGGCGAAGGCGGCUAUCUGGAUGAGUAUUGACGCUGAGGAACGAAAGCGUGGGGAUCAAACAGG
rnacentral:rRNA from 1 species